rnacentral:rRNA from 1 species
AGGUGGGGAUAACGUAGACGAAAGUUACGCUAAUACCGCAUAUUCUGUGAGCAGGAAAGCAGGGGAUCGCAAGACCUUGCGCUGAUUGAGCGGCCGAUAUCAGAUUAGCUAGUUGGUGAGGUAAAGGCUCACCAAGGCGACGAUCUGUAGCGGGUCUGAGAGGAUGAUCCGCCACACUGGAACUGAGACACGGUCCAGACUCCUACGGGAGGCAGCAGUGGGGAAUUUUGGACAAUGGGGGCAACCCUGAUCCAGCCAUGCCGCGUGAGUGAAGAAGGCCUUCGGGUUGUAAAGCUCUUUCGGCCGGGAAGAAAUCGCAUGGGCUAAUACCCUGUGCGGAUGACGGUACCGGCAUAAGAAGCACCGGCUAACUACGUG